rnacentral:lncRNA from 1 species
UCUGUUUUGGUCACAGAAUGAGCUUCAGUCGAGCUGGAAGAAGGAUUUUUGUUUGGGUGAAAUGGAAUGAGUGAAUAAAUAGAAGGGAGAGCUAAUCUACUUGCAACAGAAGGAGAUGCUUACCUGAGAAGAAAAGGGAUCGUCUUCUCCUCUGUACAGCGCACAUACACACUCACAUUCUGUUUUCUGCACUCUUCUUCUCUUGGUUUUCAUUCUCUUCCCCUCGCUAGAUUCCUCUAAAUUCGACUCUCUCUCUCUGGUUUUCUGUUUGCUCGAAGCAAUGAAGAACUGAAGAAGGAAGCGGAAAGGAGGCAGCAUUUUAUAUCCCAUAUUGCAGCAUCCUUGGCCCUCGGAUGACAUGCAACGCAUCAGGGCCGUGGGAGGCUAUGGGUCACAGACAUGACUAAAAGGGAAGGCUGGUUUGCCAACAACUGGCGAGGGAAAAAAGAAGUUCGCCUGCAGGACUUUGGGUGCUGAAGUGAGUGGUGUCCCAUUGGCAGAACAGUCACGACGAGAGACUUACAUGCCCGUGAAUGAAAAAUCCUUCAAGGCUAGGAAGCCCGCGGCUUGCGGAAUUUUGGCAAGUAUGCCUGCGCGCAAGCCUUGCCCGAGGGAAAGGAAUGUCUCACGCAUAAGCUUU